rnacentral:tRNA from 1 species
AGUAAGAUGUCUGAUUUAAGAAUUAUUUUGAUGUGAUAAAAAAAGUGUAUCCUCACUCUUACUA